rnacentral:rRNA from 2 species
CCGGCGGACACACAUGCAGUCGAGCGGAUGACGGGAGCUUGCUCCUUGAUUCAGCGGCGGACGGGUGAGUAAUGCCUAGGAAUCUGCCUGGUAGUGGGGGACAACGUUUCGAAAGGAACGCUAAUACCGCAUACGUCCUACGGGAGAAAGCAGGGGACCUUCGGGCCUUGCGCUAUCAGAUGAGCCUAGGUCGGAUUAGCUAGUUGGUGGGGUAAUGGCUCACCAAGGCGACGAUCCGUAACUGGUCUGAGAGGAUGAUCAGUCACACUGGAACUGAGACACGGUCCAGACUCCUACGGGAGGCAGCAGUGGGGAAUAUUGGACAAUGGGCGAAAGCCUGAUCCAGCCAUGCCGCGUGUGUGAAGAAGGUCUUCGGAUUGUAAAGCACUUUAAGUUGGGAGGAAGGGCAGUAAGYUAAUACCUUGCUGUUUUGACGUUACCGACAGAAUAAGCACCGGCUAACUCUGUGCCAGCAGCCGCGGUAAUACAGAGGGUGCAAGCGUUAAUCGGAAUUACUGGGCGUAAAAGCGCGCGUAGGUGGUUCGUUAAGUUGGAUGUGAAAGCCCCGGGCUCAACCUGGGAAACUGCUAUCCAAAACUGGCGAGCUAGAGUACGGUAGAGGGUGGUGGAAUUUCCUGUGUAGCGGUUGAAUGCGUACGAUAUAGGAAGGAACACAGUGGCGGAAGGCGACCACCUGGAACUGGAUUAACUGAACAAUUG